CCUACGGGAGGCAGCAGUGGGGGAUAUUGCACAAUGGGGGAAACCCUGAUGCAGCGACGCCGCGUGUGGGAAGACGGUCCUCUGGAUUGUAAACCACUGUCCCCAGGGACGAAGAUGACGGUACCUGGGGAGGAAGCUCCGGCUAACUACGUGCCAGCAGCCGCGGUAAUACGUAGGGAGCGAGCGUUGUCCGGAAUUACUGGGUGUAAAGGGAGCGUAGGCGGGACUGCAAGUUGGGUGUAAAAUCUACGGGCUCAACCGGUAGCCGCACUCAAAACUGCAGUUCUUGAGUGAAGUAGAGGCAGGCGGAAUUCCUGGUGUAGCGGUGAAAUGCGUAGAUAUUAGGAGGAACACCAGUGGCGAAGGCGGCCUGCUGGGCUUUUACUGACGCUGAGGCUCGAAAGUGUGGGGAGCAAACAGGAUUAGAUACCCGGGUAGUC
rnacentral:rRNA from 1 species